rnacentral:lncRNA from 1 species
UUCACCAUGUACUCACACUCAUGUUACACAAAAUAACCACACUCUCUCACUGAUCUCUCCCACUCUCCAAUCACAUACUCACAAUCACAACUCUCAUCUCUCUCACAGAACACUCACAAAUUUCCUUCUUCCUUCUCUUUUCUCCCGCGACCUUCAUCAUGGACUCACACUCAUGUUACACAAAAUAACCACACUCUCUCACGGAUCUCUCCCACUCU